rnacentral:rRNA from 1 species
CGUAAUAAUAGAAACUAACCAGGAUUCCCUUAGUAACGGCGAGUGAACUGGGAUACCCAAUACACCAUCUGUGCGUACCUCGGUGCGUACAAAUUUUAGCCCGUCGAUACUAUCCUAGCAUAGUACUGGCUUCGGCCGGUAACCUAUCUAUGCGGGAAUUGUAGCAUCGUACAAAAAAUAUAUUAUACAACGUAUAUAUACGCAACCCACACUUAUAUAUAUUUUUAUGCGUACACUUACUUUCAUAAACACACAGCGCUCCCGCGUUGGAAAGCAAGUUUAUAUCCUUUUUGGAUAUGCCAUAGAGUGUGACGGCCACGUUUCAACUCUCUACGUAUAGCGCAUGCGUUAUAUACAUACACUGUAUUUUAUAUAUAACCUGAGUCGAGUUAUUU